rnacentral:rRNA from 1 species
CUGGUGCCAGCAGCCGCGGUAAUUCCAGCUCCAAUAGCGUAUAUUAAAGUUGUUGCAGUUAAAAAGCUCGUAGUUGAAACUUGGGUCUGGCUGGCAGGUCCGCCUCACCGCGUGUACUUGUCCGGCCGGGCCUUCCUUCUGGAGAACCUCAUGCCCUUCACUGGGCGUGUUGGGGACCAGGACUUUUACUUUGAAAAAAUUAGAGUGUUCAAAGCAGGCCUUUGCUCGAAUACGUUAGCAUGGAAUAAUAGAAUAGGACGUGCGGUCCUAUUUUGUUGGUUUCUAGGACCGCCGUAAUGAUUAAUAGGGACAGUCGGGGGCAUCAGUAUUCAAUUGUCAGAGGUGAAAUUCUUGGAUUUAUUGAAGACUAACUACUGCGAAAGCAUUUGCCAAGGAUGUUUUCAUUAAUCAGUGAACGAAAGUUAGGGGAUCGAAGACGAUCAGAUACCGUCGUAGUCUUAACCGUAAACUAUGCCGACUAGGGAUCGGGCGAUGUUCUUUUUCUGACUCGCUC